CUUUGUCUUAGGGAGCCGAAGCUGCCGCCACAGGGCGAGAGGUUGCGGCAGAUGGCCUCCAGGAGCCAGAGCUGCUCAUUAGUGAAGGUCCAUCUCUCAAGCACCUGAGGAUGGAAAUGUCACCCAAGUGAAUGACGAGGUGAGUGACGAAGGCCUCACUGAGGGAGAGGAGUGCCCAUGGACUGCCUGCCAUAGACCAUCACCAAGCACUGACAUUGGAUUUCGCAGUGUGGAGAGCAAAGGAAUUCCUGUCAAGGAUU
rnacentral:lncRNA from 1 species